ACAUGCUCCUUGUUAUUUUCAGAAUAUAAGGGAAACAAAGGGAAGUAAAGAUGAAGUUCCUAUUUACUGUCAAAUCUCAUAUCAGUCCUAAUAGUUUUGCAUACAUCUAAUUUGUAUUCUUUGAACCAGCUAUGUAAAAAUGCAACUCUUCUAUAUUACUUGAAGACAUAGAUAAUUAGACAAAACACACUCUGUACCCUACCACCACCUCCCAUCUCCUCCCGAAAGAACCUUAAAAGUUAUGAUAGUCAAGACAGAUACAAACUGGCACAGACAUCACCAUUAUAAUAACAAAUAAAUAAGCCUUAAAAACUAAACUUUGUGCACAGCCAAACCAUGCCACGUAAAUGGAAACAGGGGAGAGCUGAAGUAACAGGGAAACCUUGCUAAGCUACAAUAUACAUGUCAAAUUCACAAUCAGUCACAAGUUUAUAAACUGUGUAUGAUUAGCCACUCAUUCUGACUAAAAUAUAGGAAUUGAUGCUAAAUUCAAGCUCAAAAUGCCCAAAAAGAGAACACAAAACCCUCGAUUUAGCAAAGCCUAAUAGCCUGUUUGGCCGAACUUAUUUUUUUUUCCAAAAAUGCUUAUUUU